GGUUAAGUUAGAAAGGGCGCACGGUGAAUGCCUUGGCACUAGGAGCCGAUGAAGGACGGGACUAACACCGAUAUGCUUCGGGGAGCUGUAAGUGAGCUUUGAUCCGGAGAUUUCCGAAUGGGGAAACCCACUGUUCGUAAUGGAACAGUAUCUUUAUCUGAAUACAUAGGAUAUUGAAGGCAGACCCGGGGAACUGAAACAUCUAAGUACCCGGAGGAAGAGAAAGCAAAUGCGAUUUCCUGAGUAGCGGCGAGCGAAACGGAAUUAGCCCAAACCAAGAGGCUUGCCUCUUGGGGUUGUAGGACACUCUAUACGGAGUUACAAAGGAACGAAGUAAAUGAAGCGACCUGGAAAGGUCCGUCGAAGAAGGUAACAACCCUGUAGUUGAAACUUCGUUCCCUCUUGAGUGGAUCCUGAGUACGGCGGAACACGUGAAAUUCCGUCGGAAGCUGGGAGGACCAUCUCCCAAGGCUAAAUACUACCUAGUGACCGAUAGUGAACCAGUACCGUGAGGGAAAGGUGAAAAGCACCCCGGAAGGGGAGUGAAAGAGAUCCUGAAACCGUGUGCCUACAAGUAGUCAGAGCCCGUUAACGGGUGAUGGCGUGCCUUUUGUAGAAUGAACCGGCGAGUUACGAUCCCAUGCAAGGUUAAGCUGAUAAGGCGGAGCCGUAGCGAAAGCGAGUCUGAAUAGGGCGUUUAGUAUGUGGUUGUAGACCCGAAACCAGGUGAUCUACCCAUGUCCAGGGUGAAGUUCAGGUAACACUGAAUGGAGGCCCGAACCCACGCACGUUGAAAAGUGCGGGGAUGAGGUGUGGGUAGCGGAGAAAUUCCAAUCGAACCUGGAGAUAGCUGGUUCUCUCCGAAAUAGCUUUAGGGCUAGCCUCAUGUUGUGAGAGUCUUGGAGGUAGAGCACUGAUUGGACUAGGGGCCCCCAACGGGUUACCGAAUUCAGUCAAACUCCGAAUGCCAAAGACUUAUCCAUGGGAGUCAGACUGCGAGUGAUAAGAUCCGUAGUCAAAAGGGAAACAGCCCAGACCACCAGCUAAGGUCCCCAAGUAUACGUUAAGUGGAAAAGGAUGUGGAGUUGCUUAGACAACCAGGAUGUUGGCUUAGAAGCAGCCACCAUUUAAAGAGUGCGUAAUAGCUCACUGGUCGAGUGACUCUGCGCCGAAAAUGUACCGGGGCUAAACGUAUCACCGAAGCUGUGGAUUGACAUCUUAGAUGUCAGUGGUAGGAGAGCGUUCUAAGUGCUGUGAAGUCAGACCGUAAGGACUGGUGGAGCGCUUAGAAGUGAGAAUGCCGGUAUGAGUAGCGAAAGACAAGUGAGAAUCUUGUCCACCGAAUGCCUAAGGUUUCCUGAGGAAGGCUCGUCCGCUCAGGGUUAGUCGGGACCUAAGCCGAGGCUGAAAAGCGUAGGCGAUGGCCAACAGGUUGAUAUUCCUGUACCACCUCCCCGCCGUUUGAGUAAUGGGGGGACGCAGUAGGAUAGGGUAAGCGCGCUGCUGGAUAUGCGCGUUCAAGCAGUUAGGCUGAUGAGUAGGCAAAUCCGCUCAUCAUGAAGGCUGAGCUGUGAUGACGAGGGAAUUAUAGUACCGAAGUUCCUGAUUCCACACUGCCAAGAAAAGCCUCUAGCGAGGCGGGAGGUGCCCGUACCGCAAACCGACACAGGUAGGCGAGGAGAGAAUCCUAAGGUGAUCGAGAGAACUCUCGUUAAGGAACUCGGCAAAAUGACCCCGUAACUUCGGGAGAAGGGGUGCUCUGGUAGGGUGUAUAGCCCGAGAGAGCCGCAGUGAAUAGGCCCAGGCGACUGUUUAGCAAAAACACAGGUCUCUGCGAAGCCGCAAGGCGAAGUAUAGGGGCUGACGCCUGCCCGGUGCUGGAAGGUUAAGAGGAGGGGUUAUCCUUUGGGAGAAGCUCUGAAUCGAAGCCCCAGUAAACGGCGGCCGUAACUAUAACGGUCCUAAGGUAGCGAAAUUCCUUGUCGGGUAAGUUCCGACCCGCACGAAAGGCGUAACGAUCUGGGCACUGUCUCAACGAGAGACUCGGUGAAAUUAUAGUACCUGUGAAGAUGCAGGUUACCCGCGACAGGACGGAAAGACCCCGUGGAGCUUUACUGUAGCCUGAUAUUGAAUUUUGGUACAGCUUGUACAGGAUAGGUAGGAGCCUGAGAAGCCGGAGCGCUAGCUUCGGUGGAGGCGUCGGUGGGAUACUACCCUGGCUGUAUUGAAAUUCUAACCCGCGGCCCUGAUCGGGCCGGGAGACAGUGUCAGGUGGGCAGUUUGACUGGGGCGGUCGCCUCCUAAAAUGUAACGGAGGCGCCCAAAGGUUCCCUCAGAAUGGUUGGAAAUCAUUCGUAGAGUGUAAAGGCACAAGGGAGCUUGACUGCGAGACCUACAAGUCGAGCAGGGACGAAAGUCGGGCUUAGUGAUCCGGUGGUUCCGCAUGGAAGGGCCAUCGCUCAACGGAUAAAAGCUACCCCGGGGAUAACAGGCUUAUCUCCCCCAAGAGUCCACAUCGACGGGGAGGUUUGGCACCUCGAUGUCGGCUCAUCGCAUCCUGGGGCUGUAGUCGGUCCCAAGGGUUGGGCUGUUCGCCCAUUAAAGCGGUACGCGAGCUGGGUUCAGAACGUCGUGAGACAGUUCGGUCCCUAUCCGUCGUGGGCGUAGGAAAUUUGAGAGGAGCUGUCCUUAGUACGAGAGGACCGGGAUGGACACACCGCUGGUGUACCAGUUGUCUUGCCAAAGGCAUCGCUGGGUAGCUAUGUGUGGACGGGAUAAGUGCUGAAAGCAUCUAAGCAUGAAGCCCCCCUCAAGAUGAGAUUUCCCAUAGCGCAAGCUAGUAAGAUCCCUGAAAGAUGAUCAGGUUGAUAGGUCAGAGGUGGAAGCGUGGCGACAUGUGUAGCUGACUGAUACUAAUCGAUCGAGGACUUAACCAA
rnacentral:rRNA from 1 species